GGGAUUGUGGCUCAGCGGUAGAGUGCUCGUCUAGCAUGUGUGAGGCCCUGGGUUCGGUCCUCAGCAUCACA
rnacentral:tRNA from 1 species